rnacentral:rRNA from 1 species
UACGUAGGGUGCGAGCGUUAAUCGGAAUUACUGGGCGUAAAGCGUGCGCAGGCGGUUCGUUGUGUCGGCGGUGAAAGCCCCGGGCUUAACCUGGGAAUGGCCGUCGAAACUGGCGAACUGGAGUGUGGCAGAGGGGGGUGGUAUUCCGCGUGUAGCAGUGAAAUGCGUAGAGAUGCGGAGGAACACCGAUGGCGAAGGCAGCCCCCUGGGCUGACACUGACGCUCAGGCACGAAAGCGUGGGGAGCAAACAGG